rnacentral:rRNA from 1 species
GAUAAGCGCUAGCGGCAGGCUUAACACAUGCAAGUCGAGGGGCAGCAUAGAUUGUAGCAAUACAAUUGGUGGCGACCGGCGCACGGGUGCGUAACGCGUAUGCAACCUACCCGCCACAGGGGGAUAAUCCGGAGAAAUCUGGUCUAAUACCCCAUAACAUAUGGAUCGGCAUCGGUUCAUGUUGAAAUUUUCGGAGGUGACGGAUGGGCAUGCGUAGCAUUAGCUUGUUGGUGAGGUAACGGCUCACCAAGGCGACGAUGCCUAGGGGGACUGAGAGGUUUUCCCCCCACACUGGUACUGAGACACGGACCGGACUCCUACGGGAGGCAGCAGUGAGGAAUAUUGGUCAAUGGGCGCAAGCCUGAACCAGCCAUGCCGCGUGCAGGAUGACGGCUCUAUGAGUUGUAAACUGCUUUUGUACGAGGGUAAAGUGGGUUACGUGUAACCUUUUGAAAGUAUCGUACGAAUAAGGAUCGGCUAACUCCGUGCCAGCAGCCGCAGUAA